AACGAACGCUGGCGGCAGGCCUAACACAUGCAAGUCGAGCGGACCCUUCGGGGUUAGCGGCGGACGAGUGAGUAACGCGUGGGAAUAUGCCCUUCUCUACGGAAUAGUCCUGGGAAACUGGGGGUAAUACCGUAUACGCCCUUUGGGGGAAAGAUUUAUCGGGGAAGGAUUAGCCCGCGUUGGAUUAGGUAGUUGGUGGGGUAAUGGCCUACCAAGCCGACGAUCCAUAGCUGGUUUGAGAGGAUGAUCAGCCACACUGGGACUGAGACACGGCCCAGACUCCUACGGGAGGCAGCAGUGGGGAAUCUUAGACAAUGGGGGCAACCCUGAUCUAGCCAUGCCGCGUGAGUGAUGAAGGCCUUAGGGUUGUAAAGCUCUUUCAGCUGGGAAGAUAAUGACGGUACCAGCAGAAGAAGCCCCGGCUAACUCCGUG
rnacentral:rRNA from 1 species